rnacentral:rRNA from 1 species
CCUACGGGUGGCACCAGUGGGGAAUAUUGCACAAUGGGCGCAAGCCUGAUGCAGCCAUGCCGCGUGUAUGAAGAAGGCCUUCGGGUUGUAAAGUACUUUCAGCGGGGAGGAAGGCGAUAAGGUUAGUAACCUUGUCGAUUGACGUUACCCGCAGAAGAAGCACCGGCUAACUCCGUGCCAGCAGCCGCGGUAAUACGGAGGGUGCAAGCGUUAAUCGGAAUUACUGGGCGUAAAGCGCACGCAGGCGGUCUGUCAAGUCGGAUGUGAAAUCCCCGGGCUCAACCUGGGAACUGCAUUCGAAACUGGCAGGCUAGAGUCUUGUAGAGGGGGGUAGAAUUCCAGGUGUAGCGGUGAAAUGCGUAGAGAUCUGGAGGAAUACCGGUGGCGAAGGCGGCCCCCUGGACAAAGACUGACGCUCAGGUGCGAAAGCGUGGGGAGCAAACAGGAUUAGAUACCCGUGUAGUC